UAUAUACUCCCUCCGUCCGGAAAUACUUGUCAUCAAAAUGGAUAAAAGGGAUGUAUCUAGAUGUAUUUUAGUUUUAGAUACAUCCCUUUUUGUCCAUUUUGAUGACAAGUAUUUUCGGACAGAGGGAGUAUAAU
rnacentral:pre_miRNA from 1 species